GACGAACGCUGGCGGCGUGCUUAACACAUGCAAGUCGAACGGAAAGGCCUUUUCGGAGGUACUCGAGUGGCGCACGGGUGAGUAACACGUGGGUGAUCUGCCCUGCACUCUGGGAUAAGCCUGGGAAACUGGGUCUAAUACCGGAUAGGACCGCACUUUAGUGUGUGUGGUGGAAAGUUUUUUCGGUGUAGGAUGAGCCCGCGGCCUAUCAGCUUGUUGGUGGGGUAAUGGCCUACCAAGGCGGCGACGGGUAGCCGGACUGAGAGGUUGGUCGGCCACAUUGGGACUGAGAUACGGCCCAGACUCCUACGGGAGGCAGCAGUGGGGAAUAUUGCACAAUGGGCGCAAGCCGGAUGCAGCGACGCCGCGUGGGGGAUGACGGCCUUCGGGUUGUAAACUCCUUUCGCCAGGGACGAAGCGUUUUGUGACGGUACCUGGAGAAGAAGCACCGGCUAACUACGUG
rnacentral:rRNA from 1 species